AUUGAACGCUGGCGGAAUGCUUUACACAUGCAAGUCGAACGGCAGCACGGACUUCGGUCUGGUGGCGAGUGGCGAACGGGUGAGUAAUGUAUCGGAACGUGCCCAGUCGUGGGGGAUAACGUAGUGAAAAUUACGCUAAUACCGCACACGAUCUAUGGAUGAAAGCGGGGGAUCGCAAGACCUCGAGCGAUUGGAGCGGCCGAUAUCAGAUUAGGUAGUUGGUGGGGUAAAGGCCCACCAAGCCAACGAUCUGUAGCUGGUCUGCGAGGACGACCGGGCACUAUGGAACUGAGACACUGUAGACACGCCUGCUGUAGGCAGCAGGGGGUAAUUUUGGACAAUGUGCGAAAGCCUGAUCCAGCCAUUCCGCGUGCAGGAUGUAGGCCCACGGGUUGUAAACUGCUUUUGUACAGAACGAAAAGGUUUCUACUAAUACUAGGAGCUCAUGACGGUACUGUAAGAAUAAGCACCGGCUAACUACGAGGAAGCCGCCGCAGUAA
rnacentral:rRNA from 1 species